GUCAUAUUCCAACAAACUGAAUACCAUAACCAAAUCUUCUCAAACAGAAAAGAGAAUCAAUCUUUUCAGUUCACAACAGCAAGAAGUUUUCCUGUUACUUCUUUGAAAACAAACUAAAUUCUUGGUUGUUAUUCCAGAUCUGUUUUUUUUUUCAGAUCUGCACCGGCAAACCCUCCCUCCGCACUAUUCUCUUGACGGAAUAGAUUGCAGAUCAUAAAAAAUAGAAAGACGGAGAUCACAGAUCUAAAAAAUAGGAGAUUGCAGAUCUAGAAAAUAAAAGACUCCAAUCGUAGAUCUUGAUCUUGGUUUGGGGUUGAGCCGGAGAUGUCGAGUGUUGUCAUCGUCGGUGAAGAAAUCGUCGCCGUAGUCGGAGAAGAAGAAGCUUCUGUCUGGGGUUCCAGACCGGGAAAGGAUGGGGAAGGAGCGACGACGACGGCGGCGAAGAACGUAGUUAGCGGUGGAGGAGGAAAGUUCAGGGAAUGGAUCUAGAAAACAAUUCACGGAAAAAAUAAAAGAGAAAGAGGAAAAAAAAGUAAAAACUUUUAAUAAUUAUUAUUUUUU
rnacentral:lncRNA from 1 species